rnacentral:rRNA from 1 species
AACCCAGUGUGAUUCGUCACACUAUCAUUAACUGAAUCCAUAGGUUAAUGAGGCGAACCGGGGGAACUGAAACAUCUAAGUACCCCGAGGAAAAGAAAUCAACCGAGAUUCCCCCAGUAGCGGCGAGCGAACGGGGAGGAGCCCAGAGCCUGAAUCAGCAUGUGUGUUAGUGGAAGCGUCUGGAAAGGCGCGCGAUACAGGGUGACAGCCCCGUACACAAAAGCGCAUGUGCUGUGAGCUCGAUGAGUAGGGCGGGACACGUGGUAUCCUGUCUGAAUAUGGGGGGACCAUCCUCCAAGGCUAAAUACUCCUGACUGACCGAUAGUGAACCAGUACCGUGAGGGAAAGGCGAAAAGAACCCCGGCGAGGGGAGUGAAAAAGAACCUGAAACCGUGUACGUACAAGCAGUGGGAGCCCCACCACUAAGCCAGUGGUGAACUCCACAUCCGCAUCCUUUGCUGAGGAUACGGUUAACGGAGCGAAAGCGACGUUCAACCGCAAAACAAGCAGAGGGGGCUUAGUGGUGGGGUGACUGCGUACCUUUUGUAUAAUGGGUCAGCGACUUAUAUUCUGUAGCAAGGUUAACCGAAUAGGGGAGCCGGAGGGAAACCGAGUCUUAAUUGGGCGUUAAGUUGCAGGGUAUAGACCCGAAACCCGGUGAUCUAGCCAUGGGCAGGUUGAAGGUUGGGUAACACUAACUGGAGGACCGAACCGACUAAUGUUGAAAAAUUAGCGGAUGACCUGUGGCUGGGGGUGAAAGGCCAAUCAAACCGGGAGAUAGCUGGUUCUCCCCGAAAGCUAUUUAGGUAGCGCCUCGUGAAUUCAUCUCCGGGGGUAGAGCACUGUUUCGGCUAGGGGGCCAUCCCGGCUUACCAACCCGAUGCAAACUGCGAAUACCGGAGAAUGUUAUCACGGGAGACACACGGCGGGUGCUAACGUCCGUCGUGAAGAGGGAAACAACCCAGACCGCCAGCUAAGGUCCCAAAGUCAUGGUUAAGUGGGAAACGAUGUGGGAAGGCCCAGACAGCCAGGAUGUUGGCUUAGAAGCAGCCAUCAUUUAAAGAAAGCGUAAUAGCUCACUGGUCGAGUCGGCCUGCGCGGAAGAUGUAACGGGGCUAAACCAUGCACCGAAGCUGCGGCAGCGAACGUAUCACCCAAGACAACUUUACGGAGUUGACGAUUGACGGAGCGAAGCGACGUCAAAGCGUUCAUUAAAGUCGAGUUGGCUUAGGGAUACGUUCGUUGGGUAGGGGAGCGUUCUGUAAGCCUGUGAAGGUGUGUCGUGAGGCAUGCUGGAGGUAUCAGAAGUGCGAAUGCUGACAUAAGUAACGAUAAAGCGGGUGAAAAGCCCGCUCGCCGGAAGACCAAGGGUUCCUGUCCAACGUUAAUCGGGGCAGGGUGAGUCGACCCCUAA